rnacentral:rRNA from 1 species
CUACCAUGCAAGUCGAACGAUGAUCCCAGCUUGCUGGGGGAUUAGUGGCGAACGGGUGAGUAACACGUGAGUAACCUGCCCUUGACUCUGGGAUAAGCCUGGGAAACUGGGUCUAAUACCGGAUAUGACUCCUCAUCGCAUGGUGGGGGGUGGAAAGCUUUUGUGGUUUUGGAUGGACUCGCGGCCUAUCAGCUUGUUGGUGGGGUAAUGGCCUACCAAGGCGACGACGGGUAGCCGGCCUGAGAGGGUGACCGGCCACACUGGGACUGAGACACGGCCCAGACUCCUACGGGAGGCAGCAGUGGGGAAUAUUGCACAAUGGGCGCAAGCCUGAUGCAGCGACGCCGCGUGAGGGAUGACGGCCUUCGGGUUGUAAACCUCUUUCAGUAGGGAAGAAGCGAAAGUGACGGUACCUGCAGAAGAAGCGCCGGCUAACUACGUGCCAGCAGCCGCGGUAAUACGUAGGGCGCAAGCGUUAUCCGGAAUUAUUGGGCGUAAAGAGCUCGUAGGCGGUUUGUCGCGUCUGCUGUGAAAGACCGGGGCUCAACUCCGGUUCUGCAGUGGGUACGGGCAGACUAGAGUGCAGUAGGGGAGACUGGAAUUCCUGGUGUAGCGGUGAAAUGCGCAGAUAUCAGGAGGAACACCGAUGGCGAAGGCAGGUCUCUGGGCUGUAACUGACGCUGAGGAGCGAAAGCAUGGGGAGCGAACAGGAUUAGAUACCCUGGUAGUCCAUGCCGUAAACGUUGGGCACUAGGUGUGGGGGACAUUCCACGUUUUCCGCGCCGUAGCUAACGCAUUAAGUGCCCCGCCUGGGGAGUACGGCCGCAAGGCUAAAACUCAAAG